rnacentral:rRNA from 1 species
AUUGAACGCUGGCGGCAUGCUUUACACAUGCAAGUCGAACGGUAACAGGUUAAGCUGACGAGUGGCGAACGGGUGAGUAAUGCUUCGGAACGUGCCCGAUCGUGGGGGAUAACGCAGCGAAAGCUGCGCUAAUACCGCAUACGAUCUGAGGAUGAAAGCGGGGGACCGUAAGGCCUCGCGCGAUCGGAGCGGCCGAUGUCAGAUUAGGUAGUUGGUGGGGUAAAGGCCCACCAAGCCGACGAUCUGUAGCUGGUCUGAGAGGACGACCAGCCACACUGGGACUGAGACACGGCCCAGACUCCUACGGGAGGCAGCAGUGGGGAAUUUUGGACAAUGGGCGAAAGCCUGAUCCAGCAAUGCCGCGUGCAGGAAGAAGGCCUUCGGGUUGUAAACUGCUUUUGUACAGAACGAAACGGUCUGGGUUAAUACCCUGGGCUAAUGACGGUACCGUAAGAAUAAGCACCGGCUAACUACGUGCCAGCCGCCGCCGUAACAC